rnacentral:rRNA from 1 species
UACGGAGGGUGCAAGCGUUAUCCGGAUUCACUGGGUUUAAAGGGUGCGUAGGUGGGCAGGUAAGUCAGUGGUGAAAUCUCCGGGCUUAACUCGGAAACUGCCAUUGAUACUAUCUUUCUUGAAUACCGUGGAGGUCAGCGGAAUAUGUCAUGUGGCGGUGAAAUGCUUAGAUAUGACAUAGAACACCAAUUGCGAAGGCAGCUUACUACCCGAAUAUUGACACUGAGGCACGAAAGCGUGGGGAUCAAACAGG